rnacentral:rRNA from 1 species
UGAAUACGAGACGCUAAGGCGUCGAAGUAGUGUAUAUCAGACUUCCAAGAAAAGCUUGCACUGUCAUAGAUAAAAAAUGCCUGUACCAUAACCGACACAGGUGGGUAGGUAGAGUAUACUAAGGGGCGCGAGAUAACUCUCUCUAAGGAACUCGGCAAAAUAACUCCGUAACUUCGGGAGAAGGAGUGCCUUAUUUAUAAGGUUGCAAUAACAAGAUCCAAGCAACUGUUUAUCAAAAACACAGGUCUCCGCUAAGUCGUAAGACGAUGUAUGGGGGCUGACGCCUGCCCAGUGCCAGAAGGUUAAAGAAGUUGGUUAGCAAUUGCGAAGCUGAUAACUGAAGCCCUGGUGAACGGCGGCCGUAACGAUAACGGUCCUAAGGUAGCGAAAUUCCUUGUCGGGUAAGUUCCGACCCGCACGAAAGGCGUAAUGAUUUGGAUACUGUCUCGGAGAGGGGCUCGGUGAAAUAGACUUGUCUGUGAAGAUGCGGACUACCUGCACCAGGACAGAAAGACCCUAUGAAGCUUUACUGUAACUUGAAAUUGAAGUUGGACUUUAUUCGCGCAGCAUAGGUGGGAGGCGUUGAUUAUAAUCUUGCGGGAUUAUUGGAGCCAUCAGUGAGAUACCACUCUUGUAAUGUUAGAUUUCUAACUUUGAAUCAUUAUCUGGUCAAAGAACAGUUUCAGGCGGGCAGUUUGACUGGGGCGGUCGCCUCCUAAAUGGUAACGGAGGCGUACAAAGGUUUCCUCUGAACGGUUAGAAAUCGUAUCUAGAGUGUAAAGGCAUAAGGAAGCUUGACUGUGAGACCUACAAGUCGAGCAGGGACGAAAGUCGGUCUUAGUGAUCUGACGGUACUGAGUGGAAAGGCCGUCACUCAACGGAUAAAAGUUACUCUAAGGAUAACAGGCUGAUCUCCCCCAAGAGUUCACAUCGACGGGGAGGUUUGGCACCUCGAUGUCGGCUCAUCGCAUCCUGGGGCGGUAGUACGUCCCAAGGGUUGGGCUGUUCGCCCAUGAAAGCGGUACGCGAGCUGGGUUCAGAACGUCGUGAGACAGUUCGGCCCAUAUCCGGUGUAGGCGUUAGAAUAUUGAGAGGAGCCUUCUUUAGUACGAGAGGACCGAGAAGGACAUACCUCUGGUGUACCAGUUAUCGUGCCAACGGUAAACGCUGGGUAGCUAUGUAUGGAGUGGAUAACCGCUGAAAGCAUCUAAGUGGGAAGCCCACCUCAAGAUAAG